AGCGGGGCCCAUCCCGUAAGGCUAAAUACUCCCGAGAGACCGAUAGCGAACCAGUACUGUGAAGGAAAGGUGAAAAGAACCUCGAACAGAGGAGUGAAACAGACCCUGAAACCAUGCGCCUACAAGCGGUCGGAGCAUGUUAAAAUGUGACGGCGUGCCUUUUGCAUAAUGAACCUACGAGUUACUCUCGCUGGCAAGGUUAAGCGAUUCAGUCGCGCAGCCGAAGCGAAAGCAAGUCCGAACAAGGCGUACAGUCAGCGGGAGUAGACGCGAAACCAAGUGAUCUACCCUUGGUCAGGUUGAAGGUUGGGUAACACCAACUGGAGGACCGCACCGAUAAGCGUUGAAAAGCUUACGGAUGAACUGAGGGUAGGAGUGAAAGGCCAAUCAAACUUGGAGAUAGCUCGUACUCCCCGAAAUGCAUUUAGGUGCAGCCUCGAAGUAAAGUGAUAGAGGUAGAGCGACUGAUAAGAUGCGAGGGCUUCACCGCCUAUCAAGUCUUGACAAACUCCGAAUACUAUCACUUGAUCUUCGGGAGUGAGGGCAUGGGUGCUAAGGUCCAUGUCCGAAAGAGGAACAACUCAGACCACCAGCUAAGGUCCCGAAAUAAGGGCUAAGUUGAAUAAACGAAGUAAAACUGCAAAGACAGCUAGGAUGUUGGCUUGGAAGCAGCCAUUCAUUUAAAGAGUGCGUAACAGCUCACUAGUCGAGGAGUUUUGCAUGGAUAAUAAUCGGGCAUAAGCCCUUUACCGAAGCUGUGGAUGUCGUAAGACAUGGUAGGGGAGCAUUCCGGCGGCGACGAAGGCCGUCCUCGAGGACGACUGGAGCUUUCGGAAAAGCAAAUGUAGGUAUAAGUAACGAUAAAGGGGGCGUGAAACCCCCUCGCCAUAAGACUAAGGAUUCCUGAUCAACGCUAAUCGGAUCAGGGUAAGUCGGGCCCUAAGGCGCAGCCGAACGGCGUAGCCGAUGGAAGAAACGGUAAAGAUUCCGUUACUGGAUAUAGGAGCGAUGUGGAGACGGAGAAGUGACACACCCGCCUGCCGACGGAAGCGCAGGUUAAAGGAAGUAGGUAAACGCCGGGUAGGCAAAUCCGCCUGGCGUGCCGAAGCUGACAGUAUCGAGAGCCCCCGGGCAAUCGAAUAGCGGUGGUAAUCAGGCUCCCAAGAAAAUCCGCUAAGCAUAUUCUAUAUCCACCCGUACCCCAAACGGACACACGUAGUCGGGUAGAAUAUACCAAGGCGCUCGAAAGACUCACGGUUAAGGAACUAGGCAAAUUGACCCUGUAACCUCGGGAAAAAGGGUCCCCAGUAAGAUGGGGCGCAGAGAAUAGGUCCAGGCAACUGUUUAACAAAAACACAGGGCUGUGCAAAAUUGAAAGAUGAAGUAUACAGCCUGACACCUGCCCGGUGCUGGAAGGUUAAGAGGAGACGUCAUCGCAAGAGAAGCGUUGAAUUGAAGCCCCAGUAAACGGCGGCCGUAACUAUAACGGUCCUAAGGUAGCGAAAUUCCUUGUC
rnacentral:rRNA from 1 species